UGGGGAAUAUUGCACAAUGGGGGAAACCCUGAUGCAGCAACGCCGCGUGAAGGAAGAAGGCUUUCGGGUCGUAAACUUCUAUCAAUAGGGACGAAGAAAGUGACGGUACCUAAAUAAGAAGCCCCGGCUAACUACGUGCCAGCAGCCGCGGUAAUACGUAGGGGGCAAGCGUUAUCCGGAAUUACUGGGUGUAAAGGGAGCGUAGGCGGCAUGGUAAGCCAGAUGUGAAAGCCCGGGGCUUAACUCCGAGGAUUGCAUUUGGAACUAUCAAGCUAGAGUACAGGAGAGGAAAGCGGAAUUCCUAGUGUAGCGGUGAAAUGCGUAGAUAUUAGGAAGAACACCAGUGGCGAAGGCGGCUUUCUGGACUGAAACUGACGCUGAGGCUCGAAAGCGUGGGGAGCAAACA
rnacentral:rRNA from 1 species